AGAGUUUGAUCCUGGCUCAGGAUGAACGGCUGGCGGCGUGCUUAACACAUGCAAGUCGAACGGGGAUGCCAUUUUUGAAGCGAUUAGCUUGCUAAGAGUGGAAAUGUUGGCAUCUUAGUGGCGGACGGGUGAGUAACGCGUGGGGAACCUGCCCUGUACAGGGGGAUAACACUUAGAAAUAGGUGCUAAUACCGCAUAAGCGCACAGUAUCGCAUGAUACAGUGUGAAAAACUCCGGUGGUACAGGAUGGACCCGCGUCUGAUUAGCUGGUUGGCGGGGUAACGGCCCACCAAGGCGACGAUCAGUAGCCGGCCUGAGAGGGUGAACGGCCACAUUGGGACUGAGACACGGCCCAAACUCCUACGGGAGGCAGCAGUGGGGAAUAUUGGACAAUGGGGGGAACCCUGAUCCAGCGACGCCGCGUGAGUGAAGAAGUAUUUCGGUAUGUAAAGCUCUAUCAGCAGGGAAGAAAAUGACGGUACCUGACUAAGAAGCCCCGGCUAACUACGUGCCAGCAGCCGCGGUAAUACGUAGGGGGCAAGCGUUAUCCGGAUUUACUGGGUGUAAAGGGAGCGUAGACGGUGCAGCAAGUCUGAUGUGAAAGGUCGGGGCCCAACCCCGGGACUGCAUUGGAAACUGUUGAACUGGAGUACAGGAGAGGUAAGCGGAAUUCCUAGUGUAGCGGUGAAAUGCGUAGAUAUUAGGAGGAACACCAGUGGCGAAGGCGGCUUCUGGACUGUAACUGACGUUGAGGCUCGAAAGCGUGGGGAGCAAACAGGAUUAGAUACCCUGGUAGUCCACGCCGUAAACG
rnacentral:rRNA from 1 species